UACACAGAGAGACUCUGUCUCAAAAGACUAAAAAAACAAAAACUCAAAAGUCUAAGACACUCCUCCUAAAAGAGGCUCUGCAAUGUGUUCCCUUUUUGCCUUGUAGGAUUUUCUAGGCUCAGAGCUACGAGUGACAGAAAAUCACAAUGUUGAUCCCCCUCCCCCAUAACGAUUAGGACGCCUCUGGUUACAGAAUGCUUAAAUGGCCAUUGGAAGGAAGCACAGUGAGGUAGCUCACUCUUUCACCAAUAGGCAACUCAGAGCCUCAGUGACAUGGAGGAGACUGACGAUGGCUUUUCUAUACUUCACCUGGCUUUGUCCUUUGCCUCCUAAGUGACUGCCACAGACUGGAGCAUCCUUUCCUCUCACAGCCUCCAAGGGAAGAAGGCAGGUGUGAGCUCCUGCCUGUUGAAGGAGCAGAACCACACCCCCCCAGCCCAUUUCCCCUUGGGCACCGCUGGGCAGGCCUAGGUCACAGGCUGUCCUCCUGCAGCCCAGUUUCGGGGUUGCUGUGACUGAUCAUCUUGGGCUUUCUCCUGGAGGGGCAUUCUCCACCCUGCAGCAUGUUGCUGCCCUAGAUUGAGCCAAAGAAAAAUGAAGUCAGCAAGAGCAGGCAGCAGCCUGAAGGUGGCUGGAGACCCAGCCUGUCUCCCCUCUCCCCUCUCUGUUUCUAUUGUGUUUCUUUCGUCUAGAUUCUGCUCAGCUAACAGCAAGCUCCGACAAAUGUUUCUCGAAAGGAAGGAAGGGAAAGAAGAAGGAAUGGGCAGGACAAACGGAGCCACGCAGAAGACUGAGUGGGAGUGAUAAGUGACGUCACGAGAAGAACCGGAAGCUUAGUUCUGUCUGCAAAGAGAAGCCCAGUGUGUCCACAGCUGUCAGAGGAGAGCCCCCACCAUCGAAGGAUGCCCACUGUCCCUGCCCUACAGCCCCUUCGGCAUCCCCACUCUGUGUCUUCUGUUGGAGCUCCCAGGUGUCUGGACAAACAAGCACCAGUCUGUUCCCCUGUGUGAGCCUCGCAUCCACCCAGGAGCUGUCCUUGUGCUGCUGAAGGCAGGCGGGGAAGAAGCAGAACCACCCUGACUGGUCAGCCUCACCCCAUGUUCUCUCCUUCUCACACACCUACAGUGGAACCGGAGUCUGGCUCUCCUGCUGAUUCAGCCCCUCCAGCGCCACACCCCCACCCCCACUCCCGGCUGAACACCUUGCUUCCGUCGUUCUCAGGAGAUGGUCCCUUGCCUCAGGCUCUGGCUUCCCAAACCUUGUUGUAGGGGUUCAUGGGUCCUCGCCUCCCUACUGUGCUGCUCUGGAUUCAAAUCCUACCCCUGUUGAGGACAUGCCUUCUUUAUGUCAAAACUUCUGCUAGAUUGCCCCAUGUGCUCAUAGACAUCUAUUGAAAACCUCUCUUCCACAUAUCUCCUGCUCUCUCCCUUCCCUUUCUGUAAACAGUCCUGGAGAAGAUGCCUUGCCCUCGGGUCGGUUUCUCCCCUGCUCUGACUUUAAACCCACCUACAUCAGGCCCCACCCCCAGAGCCCUCAACACUCAUCACCAGCAGCCUCCGUGGUAAUAACUCCAGUGUGUAUGCAUGUAUGUAUGUAUGUGCGUGUGUGUACACACACAUGUGGACUCACACCAUAGUACA